GUUGGUUUUAGGCAGGUUUCCAGGCACUGUGUGUGUGAUAGUAGAUGUGAAGUCCUUUGGCUAGUGUCGGAGUAGGCCGGGGGUAAGACUGGCGGCCAUUGGCCAGAGCGAGAGAUGCCGGCUCAGCGAUUGGCUCACCAAAGCCGUGCUCGACUCUGUGGGUGUACGACGUACUAUGCAUCUCCUCAUAACUUUGAUCGGGGAAGGAAUAGUUUACCUCCAGGGCCGGAUCUAGGGGGAUGCCCCCCAUUUAUCACCACCGCCACAAUUACACUCUUUUCAGGAGAUAAUUAAACACAACACAGCCACAACCGACAAUUAAAAACAUCUUAACUACAGCCAACAGGGCCUAUCGCGGACAUCUGACCGAACAUCAACAAUACCAGCUUCGGCAAAGAAAAUUUAUUGCCUCUACAUUCCAAUUUACAAAAAAACUAACUUUUUUUAUUUGAAAUAAUAAAUAUGUUUAAUAGA